UACGUAGGGUGCAGGCGUUAAUCGGAAUUACUGGGCGUAAAGCGUGCGCAGGCGGUUUGCUAAGACAGGUGUGAAAUCCCCGGGCUUAACCUGGGAACUGCGCUUGUAACUGGCAAGCUAGAGUGUGGCAGAGGGGGGUGGAAUUCCAGGUGUAGCAGUGAAAUGCGCAGAUAUCGGGAGGAACACCUAUGGCGAAGGCAGCUCGCUGGGACGUUACUGACGCUGAGACGCGAAAGCGUGGGGAGCAAACAGG
rnacentral:rRNA from 1 species